rnacentral:lncRNA from 1 species
GCUGGGCGGGCGAGGGGCGCGUCGCUGCGCCACAGACCCGGGGGCGGCCGGGCGGGAAGCGCCGUGCGGCGGCCGCUGGGGCUGGGGGAGGCGGGGGGUGCCGGCCGGUGCUAAUUCCUACUGCUGUCUUCAAAACUAAGCAAGCUCUUAAUCCAAUGGCUUUCAUCGCUGACCUGCAGAGCACCUGCGUGGAAUCAAAGCAGCUCUGGCUGAUCACCUAGCUUUGCCCCUUGCUCUGCUGAAACCAUCCUUGGAAAAGCACAGGUGGAUUCAAGAGUUCUGCCAGAGCUGCUGCUUCAAGCCAUCCACCAGCAAGGAAUCGAGGCAUCUGACCACUGUCCUGCAUAUUUCUGAGUUGUUAACAACUAUCACAAUUGCUGCAUGCAAAGUACCUGUACAUGAAGGGUUUUGAUUCAUUGUAUUACCUAUCAGGCUAGAAGGCUGCAUUUAGACGUGGCGUGAGCUCAACCUGAGUCUAAUUACAGUGUAGAAAAAAUAGCAGUGCAAAAUGUUACCAAUUUUUAACAGACUAGAGUAAGUGUAACCUACUUUCUCCAGAUACGAUCUGUGUAAAAAGAUCUUGGUUUAUCUGAACUAUUUGCAAUGCUAGAAGCAUCAGAAUUACUGCACUUUUAAAACCAAUUGGAAUGAAGGAAAGACUGUUCUAGCCGUGAAAUGUAUUUCAAGACCCAUUUAUUAAUAUUUGUCCUAAACUAAUUAGGUGAUACAAAGAGUAUACUUACUAAGAGUAAGUGCUAAAAUUCUGAGAAUGAUGCAUUUUAUUUCUCUCAGAAAACAGAAAUAAAAUGUUUAUCAAAAUCAUUGCUAAUGGUAUUUAAAAACAGAUUAAAAAUAAAG